AAAUAUAUUGCUUAUCCUGAAUUCAGUGCGAUUUGCAAUGGCCGUCCUGCUGACUGUGGUCUUACUUUCCUGCAUGUGCAGCAAACUGAAGCCAUGUAGGGCCUCCGGUGGAAGUCAGGCUAAUGAACAAAAUCUAUUGAAGAUGGAGAAACUGCACACAGGGAGUAAUCUGGCGUUGUGCUGAUUGGCGUCA